rnacentral:rRNA from 1 species
AUUGAACGCUGGCGGCAUGCUUUACACAUGCAAGUCGAACGGCAGCACGGGGGCAACCCUGGUGGCGAGUGGCGAACGGGUGAGUAAUGCAUCGGAACGUAUCCUUAAGUGGGGGAUAACGCAUCGAAAGAUGCGCUAAUACCGCAUAAUCUCUGAGGAGAAAAGCAGGGGAUCGCAAGACCUUGCGCUUUUGGAGCGGCCGAUGUCUGAUUAGCUAGNGGUGAGGUAAAGGCUUACCAAGGCUUCGAUCAGUAGCUGGUCUGAGAGGACGACCAGCCACACUGGGACUGAGACACGGCCCAGACUCCUACGGGAGGCAGCAGUGGGGAAUUUUGGACAAUGGGGAAACCCUGAUCCAGCCAUGCCGCGUGAGUGAAGAAGGCCUCGGUU